CCGACAGGCAUAAAUAUAUUUUUGGAUGGCUAUGUUCCAACAGAGAACUUGAGGUUCAGGGAUGCAUCACUUGUCUUUAAGGUAGCUGAGACAGCAAAUGAAGAAGAAGUUAAAAAGAUGUGCAUGUAUAAAUACCCCGGGAUGAAGAAGAAGAUGGGCGAGUUCGAGCUAGCAAUUGUAGCUGGAGAGUUCACUGACUCAGAAAUCAUGGUGAUGCUGGGGGAAAACGGUAAGCCCUGAGGUUGGGAGGGUGAAAUUGGGUCUGUAAUUAUCUGUGCUCAUGGAGAACUGACUCAAGGCUAGCUCCUGAGUUUGAAUCCUUCCACUUACUGUUUUGACUUCACAGUUUGUGGUAUUUACUAAUUUAGUCUCACUAUUGUUGAAACGGGUUAAUACUUCUUCGUUAUUUUCACUAAAAAUAUGCAGCUUCUGCUCAGCUGAUGUUUCUGUUAACUUGUGAGCAAUCACUCAUUCUGCAGAAGGACUGAAAGCAAUUAGGCAGGCAGUAACUAAGUUAUGCCAGCUUUAAUGA
rnacentral:lncRNA from 1 species